AAAUGAAACUAGCAUACUUAUCGAAAGGUAAGGACGCAAAGCCAUGAGUCUAAGGAAAGUUAAAUUCUUUCUAUGAUUGUCAGGUUGCCAAA
rnacentral:ncRNA from 1 species